AUUGAACGCUAGCGGGAUGCUUUACACAUGCAAGUCGAACGAGUGGCGGACGGGUGAGUAAUAUAUCGGAACGUUCCCAGUAGCGGGGGAUAACUACUCUAAAGAGUACCUAAUACCGCCUACUCGUGGAGCGGCCCCUAUCGGAUUAGCUAGUUGGUGGGGUAAAGGCUCACAAAGGCAACGAUCCGUAGCUGGUUUGAGAGGAAGACCAGCCACACUGGGACUGAGACACGGUCCAGACUCCUACGGGAGGCAGCAGUGGGGAAUUUUGGACAAUGGGGGAAACCCUGAUCCAGCCAUCCCGCGUGUAUGAGAAGGCCUUCGGGUUGUAAAGUACUUUUGGCAGGGAAGCGGUAUCCGCAGAAUAAGCACCGGCUAACUACGUGCCAGCAGCCGCGGUAAUAC
rnacentral:rRNA from 1 species